GAAACCAAUCCCGAAAUCAUAUCUCAGUUGGAAUUGUCGGCUGUAACCCGCUGACAUGAACGUGGAAUCCCUAGUAAUCGUGUGUCAUCAUCGCACGGUGAAUACGUCUCUGCUCCUUGCACACACCGCCCGUCGCUCCAUCCGAGUGUAUUAAAAAUGAGGUUUGGUCAGUUUGGUCAUAUCGAGUUUCUAAUAUGCGAGGAGGGAGAAGUCGUAACAAGGUAGCCGUAGGGGAACCUGCGGCUGGAUCACCUCCUAA
rnacentral:rRNA from 1 species